rnacentral:rRNA from 1 species
AUUGAACGCUGGCGGCAGGCCUAACACAUGCAAGUCGAGCGGAUGAAGGGAGCUUGCUCCUGGAUUCAGCGGCGGACGGGUGAGUAAUGCCUAGGAAUCUGCCUGGUAGUGGGGGAUAACGUCCGGAAACGGGCGCUAAUACCGCAUACGUCCUGAGGGAGAAAGUGGGGGAUCUUCGGACCUCACGCUAUCAGAUGAGCCUAGGUCGGAUUAGCUAGUUGGUGGGGUAAAGGCCUACCAAGGCGACGAUCCGUAACUGGUCUGCGAGGAUGAUCAGUCACACUGGAACUGAGACACGGUCCAGACUCCUACGGGAGGCAGCAGUGGGGAAUAUUGGACAAUGGGCGAAAGCCUGAUCCAGCCAUGCCGCGUGUGUGAAGAAGGUCUUCGGAUUGUAAAGCACUUUAAGUUGGGAGGAGGGGCAGUAAGUUAAUACCUUGCUGUUUUGACGUUACCAACAGAAUAAGCACCGGCUAACUUCGUG